AUGCACGCUGGCGGCGUGCCUAAUCCAUGCAAGUCGCGCGAACGGACGAGAAGCUUGCUUCUCUGAUGUUAGCGGCGGACGGGUGAGUAACACGUGGAUAACCUACCUAUAAGACUGGGAUAACUUCGGGAAACCGGAGCUAAUACCGGAUAAUAUUUUAAACGGAUUGGUCCAAAAGUAAAAGAGGUCUUGCCUGCCCUUAUAAGUUGAACCGCGCUGCAUUAGCUAGUUGGUAAGGUAACGGCCUACCAAGGCAACGAUGCAUAGCCGACCUGAGAGGGUGAUCGGCCACACUGGAACUGAGACACGGUCCAGACUCCUACGGGAGGCAGCAGUAGGGAAUCUUCCGCAAUGGGCGAAAGCCUGACGGAGCAACGCCGCGUGAGUGAUGAAGGUCUUCGGAUCGUAAAACUCUGUUAUUAGGGAAGAACAUAUGUGUAAGUAACUGUGCACAUCUUGACGGUACCUAAUCAGAAAGCCACGGCUAACUACGUG
rnacentral:rRNA from 1 species